rnacentral:rRNA from 1 species
UUGGAGGGCAAGUCUGGUGCCAGCAGCCGCGGUAAUUCCAGCUCCAAUAGCGUAUAUUAAAGUUGCUGCAGUUAAAAAGCUCGUAGUUGAAUUCCGGGACCAAUAUGUCGGUCGUGCCUCGGUACGUACUGACAUCGUUGGUUUCUCCCUUCUGACGAACCAUGAUGUCAUUCAUUUGGUGUCGUGGGGAAUCAGGACUGUUACUUUGAAAAAAUUAGAGUGUUUAAAGCAGGCUCACGCUUGAAUACAUUAGCUUGGAAUAAUGAAAUAGGACGUUUGAUUCUAUUUUGUUGGUUUCUAGGAUCGACGUAAUGAUUAAUAGGGAUAGUUGGGGGCAUUAGUAUUCAAUUGUCAGAGGUGAAAUUCUUGGAUUUAUUGAAGACUAACUACUGCGAAAGCAUUUGCCAAGGAUGUUUUCAUUAAUCAAGAACGAAAGUUAGGGGAUCGAGGACGAUCAGAUACCGUCGUAGUCUUAACCAUAAACUAUGCCGACUAGGGAUCGGAUGAUGUUAAUUUUUUAAUGACUCAUUCGGCGCCUUACGGGAAACCAAAGUGUUUGGGUU